UACGUAGGGUGCGAGCGUUUAAUCGGAAUUACUGGGCGUAAAGCGUGCGCAGGCGGUUUUGUAAGCCAGAUGUGAAAUCCCCGGGCUUAACCUGGGAAUGGCAUUUGGGACUGCAAGGCUCGAGUGCGGCAGAGGAGACUGGAAUUCCUGGUGUAGCGGUGAAAUGCGCAGAUAUCAGGAGGAACACCAGUGGCGAAGGCGGGCUUCUGGGCCGUAUAACUGACGCUGAGGCGCGAAAGGC
rnacentral:rRNA from 1 species